rnacentral:rRNA from 1 species
UACGAAGGGGGCUAGCGUUGCUCGGAAUCACUGGGCGUAAAGGGUGCGUAGGCGGGUCUUUUAAGUCAGGGGUGAAAUCCUGGAGCUCAACUCCAGAACUGCCUUCGAAACUGACGAUCUUGAGUUCGGGAGAGGUGAGUGGAACUGCGAGUGUAGAGGUGAAAUUCGUAGAUAUUCGCAAGAACACCAGUGGCGAAGGCGGCUCACUGGCCCGAUACUGACGCUGAGGUGCGAAAGCGUGGGGAGCAAACAGG